rnacentral:lncRNA from 1 species
GUAAAACAAUGAUAAAAUUACUCUAAAAAAAAAGAAAGGAAACUCAAAUUUUUUUUAACCUUGAAGAUACGAAAAAUAAUUGCACUGAUAGAGAGAUUACGCUGUCCCACUAAAUUUUGCAUGCCUAUUUGUCAACACCCAAUUUCAUCUAUCAACACCUAAUUUCGUCUGAGUGACAAAAAUAUAUUAUUUUUAUUUUAUAUUAUGUCUUUUUAUCAAUUUUGUUUUUGUUAUAUCAUUUAAUUUUUUAUUUUUACUUAUUUUAUGUUAUUUUAUUUAUUUAUCUUUUUAUUUAUUUAUCUUUUUUUGUUUUUUAUUUUCAUAUUAGUUUUUAUAUUUUAAUUCUAUUUUUUACCUUUUAUUUUAUUUUACUUUUUAUUUUAUUUUUCUUUUUAUUUUAUUUUACUUUUUAUUUUAUUUUACUUUUUAUUUUAUUUUAUUUUACUUUUUGUCAUUUAGAUAUAUUUCGUUUUAUUUUACGUUAGUUUUUUUUAUUGUUUAGUUUUAUUUUUGUUUUUUUUUUUUACGUUAAACGUUAACAAAAAAUUCUAAGGAAAAAGAAAAUAAAAAGGGUAUCGCAGACUGUUGCUUUCUUUCCAUUCUCAGUCACGCAAUCACCAAGCACCAAUUUAGCUUCCUUACAACACAGUGCAUUCAACUCUCCUGCAACGCAAAGCACAGACAAAACAUUCAUCAAAGGGGAAUGAUAUUUUGAACAAGCUUCUUCCAGCGAUACAGUGAAAACAUGAAGAAGGAAAAGGACAAAAAAAAGAUAUCUCAAGUCAGAGGAUACGCCUGUAUGAUCCAAGAGACAGAGGGGAAUUGGCUUCAUGAGAACCUUGACCAUCAGACAGAAGAGGGGGACGGCUUCUCCAAUCACUCUGGACUCACUCAACAGAAACCCCUAGACUAUCUUUGCUCCUCUGGACUCCAACCAAUUUUUUUUUUUCUUUUCACUUCCAAGUAUUCACCUCCAAUAUUUCAUCGCCGCGAGAGCACACUAUCAAACAAGAACAAUAACAACAGAGAAAAGAUCAUCAACAAAAAGAUUCUGGACUCCCUCAUCUUUAACACGAACCAUCAUUUGCAUACACAGAAAAAAAGGCAACCUCUUUGGACCUUCAUCUUCAACCAUCAUUCAGUCUCAGUCUCUGUGAUGGCGUCCACCAUUUCAUGAGCAGAGGAAGAAAACGAGAGGCCAGCAUCUGAAAAAGAGAAAGAACUGGUUCCUAUCACGGGCUGGGGGAGGUUUUCUGAAGGUUCACUGGCCGGCAUCAACUUCACUGCUGCAAUUGCUGCAGCUGGGGACACCAAGCAACAGCAAAGCCCGGUAAGUAACUCUCUCUCUCGCUCAUAUAGUCGCUUGUAAUGUAUGCUGUAUUGUGAAUGGCUGUAUCACGAACUACGUAUUAUAUUUGCCUGUGGUUAUUGGCCUUGUGUAUGAACCCCCCUCACUCUUCAUUCUCAAUGGCCACCUUUGCCCAACAUCCACCAUCUUCAUCUUUUUUAGCCUCUGCAAUUUCCAUGGCAAACUUGCCUAAUACGCCGUCAUGCUCCAUCAACUUCUCUCCUCACCACCCUAUCCAAAUCAAUAUCCCAGCCAAACCCCUCAAACAUCACAACGUCAAUGCCUCUGCAAUCUGUAACCAAAAAAACUAAACAGAUUUCACAGCCUAAUACCAAGCCUCUGCCGCUGAGGCAAAACUCCAUCAACCUUCACUACAUCACCAAGCAAAAUUCCAGCAAGUCAUAAGCCAAGUUCUCACAAUCAUCGACCAUAACCACAACAAGAGGUAUUGCUAGUCAGAAAAUCCCUCACACAAUCCCGAUCCCAUUUAUCUGCAAAAAGGAUCCAACCCAAACCUGAGCCAAUCGCAGUAACCACGAACCAAAUCAGAUAUUGAAGCUAAGUCGCCUUUGUUCACCCCAAGCAACCGUGAAAAGAGUUAACCCCCUAACGUUGUCUCGACAAGCCUCCGUGGUCGUCUUCUCUGAUCAAUAAACGGUGGAAUCGCGUUGGCGGUAGCCUCGGUGACGGCGGUGGGCUCGACGAGGAGCGACGACUCUGGCUUGGCGGCAGCGAGCAGGCAGCAGAGGCAAACCCUUCCCUGGGUCACCGUUUUCGAAGCAGAGAGAGAGGGCGGUGAGUGCGUGAGUGGCCGGCGGUGGCUUUGGGGGGGCGUGGUGUCGCCGGUGACGCCAUGGACAGCCCCCUCGCAGCGCCCUUUUGAUCGGAGAUUGUGGCAGCAGAUGGGGCGAAUCACGGAAGGUGAGGACGUCUCCCUCUCGCGCGCGGCGAGGAACUUGAGGAAGGGGUCUGACUCCGUGGCCGGCAGCAGCUCCGGUGACGCUUACUGUCGCCGGUAACGCCUCGAACUGGCCGGAUGGGAGCUGUGGCUGGUCGGGUGGUGGCAGCGUGAGACGUUCCUAGGAGGCAAACCUAGUUUGAGAAUGAAGAGACCUUGAGUCUCUCUUUUGAGGCUGAGAGAGUGUCAAAUGAUGAAACGAGGGAGGAAGGAAACAACCCCUAAAUUCUGCUGUUGGGGGAUUCUUGGGCCAUGGGUCCUUUUCCUUUACUUUUUUUUAAAAAAAAAAUAAAUAUACUUUUCACUUUUGCACCCUUGUUUAUCAUUUAGGCACCCCAUUUUUUCUGCCGGACCAGCAAUGGGCCAAGAGAAAACAAAAAAAAAAACAAACUUUUUCCGCACACCCCUGUUUAUGCUAAAUCUCACCCCCUUUCCACUAGGGCUUUGGCCCAAUCAGUUGUCAGCACUUAAUUUGAUUUGCACCCCCUGAUUUCACUGGCACACCCCUUUUUCUUGGGCUUAGGCCCAGUUCGUUUCUAAAAGGAAAAAUAGCUUAGACAUUUUUUUUCUUAUUUAAGCACCU